GAGAAGCAAGGAACUUAUUUCACGGUAUCGGCAGUUGAGGAGUAAAUCUUAGCUCGACCUUACCACAAUGACCCUUCUUGUGACAGUAUUUCUGGUUCUGUGCCUGGAAGUGUUUCUCGUCCUUUGUCAGAACAGCACAAAUGAGACGACUACGAACGGGUCCGACGUCCCCACUGAUGGCGCACACAGUGUCGUAUUCACAGGAAUUGUCAUAGCAACGGCGACAAUACUUGCUCGCAUCGUCAAUUAAGAGUGCUUACAGGUGGUUUGUUGUGGAAGAAUGCGGCUGCCAUCUUGCUGUUCCAUCCACUGCCACUCCCCUCUCUGCCAUCCGGGUCCUACUGGCUCUUCUAGAGCCCACGGACAUUCUCAGCUUCUCUCAUUUCGGUAUAAAGAAAGAAACAUGACUCAUUUCCAUAUCUGGUAGUCGUUCGAUGUAAGAAAACUAUCUGUAGCCAAUCAUUCAUCAGUAUGCAAACUGCGCAUCCUUUGUAUAAGUAAUGUGAUGUGUUUCAGUUUUAUUUGUAUGUAUACAUUUGCCGCAUCCCAUAACUAUCUGGAAUAAAACAUUCCAUUUGUAUACUA